CCCCUAGAUGUUCUGGGCCGCACGCGCGCUACACUGAACAGUUCAACAAGUCUUAACCUUGGCCGAUAGGUCUGGGUAAUCUUUGAACGCUGUUCGUGAUUGGGAUAGACCUUUGCAAUUAUGGGUCUUCAACGAGGAAUUCCUAGUAAACGCAGUUCAUCAAACUGCAUUGAUUACGUCCCUGCCCUUUGUACACACCGCCCGUCGCACCUACCGAUUGAAUGGUCCGGUGAAGCCUCGGGAUUGUGGCUGGUCUCCUUUAUUGGGGGUCGGUCGCGAGAACUUGUCUAAACCUUAUCAUUUAGAGGAAGGUGAAGUCGUAACA
rnacentral:rRNA from 1 species